rnacentral:sRNA from 1 species
AGAACUUCAUCAGAGGUUGGUGGGCGUCCUCAGUCACAGACAAACAAAACACAAAAAGAAAAGAGAAAAGAGCAAGAGAGAGAGAGAUACAGGAAGGGAAGAGAGCACACUGGCGUUGAUCGUACUGUCCAGAUCCACUGGUUUUCUGGAUCAGACGACCCGAAGCCAUGGCUUCCAAAGGUCCAGGGUCCAAGCUUGAUCAUGAACCCAGAGCUAAGCGCCAAAAGGUACAGCAGUGUAUGACAGUGCAUAUUGAUCCGGAUUUUCCUCAACUAUGACAUUCCUUUGAAGAUAGCAGAGGCUCAGUGCAACUUACUUGGUCGGAUGUAGAGGACCUCUCGGCGGACUGAUUAUAAUCUUGGUUGCCCCUUCUUGAAGAUACCCGCACAAUAUUAUACACAUAGGACCACACAUAAAAGUCUCCUACCUGAAGCAUGGACACAAUUACAUUACAAAAGGCAAAGAUAGGAAUCCCUGACAGCUGAACAAGGUAGCUACAUUGUAUUGAAGAGAAACAGUCACCAGAAUUCAAGAGGAAAAGAAGGACAAAAGAAAAUGUGUUCAGAAAAACGUAUUCUACACAGCAAGCAGGCGCACACAAACACCGUUUAAGAACUGGCCCUGGCCGUUUGGGGGUAGUACAAUUUG